GACCCUUUGACCCUUCUUGCACCGCAACGUCGGUGAUCGCAUCGCGACCCCAGGUC
rnacentral:rRNA from 1 species